rnacentral:lncRNA from 1 species
CCCGCCCCGGAGAUGAAUUCUGGGAAGUUAGUCUUUGGGAGAAAGGUCGCUCUCCAGGAAGAAUUUCUGAGCCAGGUGAAACAUUGCUUCAAUCACACAAGAAUGAAACAACCUUCUGACACCCCUACUACCACCACUACCUCCCUUCACAUGAGUGAACUUGGAACACAGGCUGGCCCUGUUUGGACCAUGCUCAUUCUGAGAUCCACAGGCUCAUGGGUGAGCAACAAUGUUGUUAAAAGCAGCCAAUCGUGACUGUGGCCUUUUAACUUCUCAGCUGAGAAAGAAAAGACAGCGGGUGCCUUUAUACUGCAAAACAAGACCUUCUUGAUGAAGAUUUUGUGCAAUGCAUUGUGACCAUACUUAAGGUGCAUCCAGUUAGACAUGCUCAGUUUUCAGUGACCCACAAAGAGGGACAUGACUGUAAAAUGAAACAACUCAAAAUACCUUGGGAUGGAUGGAGCUCGGGGAAGAAGAGCUCAGACAUAGACAGCAGGGAAGGUCACUUAUGCCAAGAUGAAGUGUAAAUAUUUUAUCCAGGGGACGGCAGGGACAGGAUGGGCACAGGCGAGAAUGGUGUGUAUCCACAGCUUCACACAUACCUACUUCUAUCCACGCCUGUAUGUUGGCAUAGAUGUUAUCAGAUUUCUUAAGAGUCUAAUUUUAAAGCCGCUACUGACACCUUUCUGUGGGACAGGAUAAAAAAGAGUGGGCAGCAAGCCUGCAUUUUGAGAAGAAGCCUCUUUGCACCCCACAUUUAAGAUCCCUCUUGGCUGUGAAAGAAAACCAAAGAUACAAAACCACACAGAAGCAGAGCUUAAUGGAUGAUGCUCAUCACUGGGUACCUGUGAAGAUUGCAGAGCUGCCCCCACUCUGCACCUAACAACACAACAUUAUAAUAUUUAAAACAAAAUGUCAAAUCGCUUGUGAUAAAUCUAUCAUGA